UACGAAGGGGGGCUAGCGUUGCUCGGAAUCACUGGGCGUAAAGGGCGCGUAGGCGGAUCUUUAAGUCGGGGGUGAAAGCCCAGGGCUCAACCCUGGAAUUGCCUUCGAUACUGAAGAUCUCGAGACCGGAAGAGGUAAGUGGAACUGCGAGUGUAGAGGUGAAAUUCGUAGAUAUUCGCAAGAACACCAGUAGGCGAAGGCGGCUUACUGGUCCGGUUCUGACGCUGAGGCGCGAAAGCGUGGGGAGCAACAGG
rnacentral:rRNA from 1 species